CAGAGAGUAGUUUAAAUAAAAAUUUUAAUUUUGGAGAUUAAUGAUGAGUAUAAUUAAUUUUCUCUGA
rnacentral:tRNA from 1 species